CGCACAACUUCCCACAGAAGCCCUCCUAGCUUCCAGCUCCGCCAUGCUCUGUGAUUCCUUCUCUCAGAGUUUCUGGAUAGAGCUAUACAGACAGUCUAGUCUGUGGACAUUUCAGAAUGUGAAAGCUGCUGGCCUCAAGAGUGCUGCUGGGGUAUGUCCACUGGGCAUUCAUGCUAACAAUCCAGGUUCCUGAGCAGAAGUGAAAAUUAGGUUUGAUGACAAGGCUUGGAAAAGGGAGAAGAGCUGGGGAGAAAUACGGU